GGGGAUUUAGCUCAGUGGUGGAGCGCUUGCCUAGCAAGCGCAAGGCCCUGGGUUCAGUCCCCA
rfam:Rattus norvegicus chromosome 5, whole genome shotgun sequence.